rnacentral:lncRNA from 10 species
GUUCUCCCCAGAACCUGGAAACACAGAUAUGACCCCCCCAACCCUCCUCACCCCUGAUUCCCCAAAAUAAAGCCAAGAGAGGCAGAGAAAGGGAUAAUGAGGUAACCAAGUAUUGAGAACCCCAAGAGAAAUCCUGAGAGAAGGAGGAGGGGGCCAGGGACCACCUCCCAGAGGUCACUGAGCUGAGACCACCCCAGAGAGCCCCCAGAUUGGGAGCAGGCAGAGGGGUGAGGGCUGAGGUAGGCCCGAGGUGGGAGUCAGGGAGGGUCCUUGGCUCCAGCCCAGAAAGCCUGUUCAGGUGAUGUCCUAUUACAGAAGGCAAUGGCGCCCAGGGGCUUGGAGGGCAUUUUGCAGAAAAUAAUUGCCCACAUUUAUUUGUCUCCUAUAAGGGUUUCAUUUCUGUUGACUGCUUUUUAUUCUGACAGCAUUUUAUUUUUUUAAGACAAGGUCUCACUCUGUCGCCCAGGCUGGAGUGCAGUGGCGCGAUCUCGGCUCACUGCAACCUCCGCCUCCCAGGUUCAAGCGAUUCUCCUGCCUCAGCCUUCCGAGAGGCUGAAGCAGAAGAAUUGCUUGAACCCGGGAGGCGGAAGUUGAAGUGAGCCGAGAUCGUGCCAGUGCACUCCAGCCUGAGUGACAAGGGCAAAACUCUGUCUCAAAAAAAAUAAAUAAAUAAAAAUAAAAAUAAAUAAAUUGUGGUAAUUGUGUAACCACACUAAUUGGUCAAUAGCUGGAUUGUGAUAGUGGUUACACAAUUGCAUGCAUGUGUCAAAAUUCACAGAACUGUGUACCAUAAACAGAAUUUACUGCAUGAAAACCAUAUAUAUUUUUGUGUUUGUUUUUUUUUUUUGGUUUGUUUUCAGGUUUUCUGUUUUUCUUUUUUUGCGGUUGAGUCUUAACCACUUUGCCCAGGCUGGUCUUCACCUCAGAGGCUCUAGUCAUCCUCCUUCCUUGGCUUCCCAAAGUGCUGGGAUUACAGGCGUGAGCCACUGUGCCCAGCCAUGGCAGUUUCUUAGAUUAAAUAUACACUUACUAUAUAACCCAUCCAUUCCAAUCCUAGCUGUUUACCCAAGAGAAAUGAAAACAUGUGAUCUCAUAAAAUCUUGUAUGAGAAUGUUUACAGUAGCUGUUUUUUUGUAAUCACCCAAACUUGGAAACAGCCCAAUGUCUUCUAACUGGUGAAUGGAUAAAAAAAAAACCUGUGCUCUAUUCAUACCAUGGAAUACUGUUCACUAUUUACAAAGGAACUACUGAUAUAAACCACAACAUGGGCCGGGUGCAGUGGCUCAUGCCUGUAAUCCCAACACUUUGGGAGGCUGAGGGGGGUGGAUCACCUGAGGUCAGGAGUUCGAGACCAGACCGGCCAACCUGGUGAAACUCCUUCUCUAUUAAAAAUAUAAAAAUUAGCUGGGCGUGUUGUUGCGUGUAAUCCCAGCUAGUCGGGAGGCUGAAGCAGGAGAAUCGCUUGAACCUGGGAGGCAGAGGUUGAAGUGAGCCGAGAUCGUGCCAGUGCAAUCCAGCCUGAGUGACGAGGGCAAAACUCUGUCUCAAAAAAAAAAAAAAAAAAUCGUGGUAAUUGUGUAACCACUAUUAUAAUCACACUAAUUGGUCAAUAGCUGGAUUGUGAUAGUGGUUACACAACUGCAUGCGUGUGUCAAAAAUUCACAGAACUGUGUACCAUAAAGAGAAUUUACCAUAUGCAAACCAUCUAUCUUUGCGUGUGUGUGGUUUUUUUUUUUGGUCUGUUUUCAGGUUU